rnacentral:lncRNA from 1 species
GGAUUUUUAUAUUUUUGGACUCUUCUCUUUGUUCAAUUCUACAUAAUUUGUCCAAGAACUUAAAAAUACUAUAAAUAUCAUUCAAAAGACCUAUUUUCUGGAAGAAUUGAAAGGGGCAAGAUUGAAGAAUUCAACCACACAAUUUGAAGGAGGCAAAAAUUGAAGACAUCAAAGGGAGGCAAGAACAACAUCAAUGAAGAAGAUUGAAAAUCUACCCAAAAGGUUAGUUUUUUUUUUUUUUUUAUCAUUUUCUUUAUGUUGUUUAUGAAUUAAAUAAUUUAUCUACGGUUAAUGUAACUGAACAUGAUUCUAUGGUUUGAUGAUUUUAUAAUUAUUGCUUUUGAUUAUGCAUAUUUAAUUAUGUCAUGAUUUUAAUACUUUCAAUUACCCGAUCAAUAAUUGAAUGAAUAGAUGCUAGUCAAUUUCGACACUCGAAAGACGGGAAUUUAACCGCGAUUAUAAGAUUGACACAAUAUAGAUUUUAUGGAUUUCGAGAAAACUAUAAAAUCAUGAAACUUACUCCAUAGAAGAAUCGAAACUUUUAUAAAUUCUUGAUCUACAAUUCGAAAUAGAGAUAUUGGAAUUGGAAUUUAGGAUUAAUUUCUAGUCUGCACUCGAGAGAGGGGAGAGAAAUGUAUUAGAAUUCUUGUUUUUAAAUAUGAGAAAAUUAGCUAGAAUAAUUAGAAAUCAUUGAAUCAUAAUCGAAAGUUAGGUGAAAUCAAUUCCCUAGGAUAUCUCAUUUUGAUAAUUUGCAUUCUUCAAUUUUGUCACAACCAAUUAUGUUAGAUUAGUUUAAAACAUUCAUUCAUUCAAUUAUCCAUUCAUCUGAACAAAGUAGAAAUUGCAUAAUUAUAGUACUUAGAGAGAAUUAAAUUAUAACCCAUAUGGGUUUGACACUCUUACUUCAAUACUAUAUUACAAAAAAAAAAAAAAAAAAAAUUAACACCGUACACUUAUAGUAUAAAUCACGUUGCAUAAAACGCGUGACAAGUUUUUGGCGUCGUUGUUAGGGAUUGUUUAUUUUAUUUUGACUAAUAUUAUUACCAAGUAAUUUCUAUUUUAAUUUAUAUUUCUUUUCUUUUAAUUGCUUUGUGGCACUUGUGUCAGGUGUAUGCGAAGAUCGAGGAGUGUUGGACUACUACCUGUUGAUCCUGAACCAGGACAAACUUUCAAAUUUAUAAGGAAUAUUCAGAGACAUUACCUUGAAGCAAUGGCCGAACAAAAUCCACCAUUAGCAAACCAGAACAAUCAUAAUGUUCAACAAAGGGCUAUAAGAGACUACAUCAGACCAAUUAUAGUUCCAGUAUUGCACAUCCAACAAUAGCUGCAAUUAAUUUCAAACUGAAGCCAGAGCUAAUUCAUAUUGUACAAUAAAAUUAGUUGGGGCAGCUCCAAAAAAAGACCCAAAUACUCAUCUGGGUUCUUUUCUGGAUAUGUGAU